GGCUAAGUACUUUAACCAAAAAGAUCUAACUUGCACUUAGAAAAUGAGCAAAUCUGCCCCUAAGCCA
rnacentral:tRNA from 1 species